rnacentral:sRNA from 1 species
GUUCGGUUCUCUGCCUGGCGCCGAAAGAUUCUCGACGCUGAUUAAAAAUGGCUAUCUCACUCGGGCUGAUUACGACGUUCAAGCUUCGACUCAGAACCGCGACGAUGAAGAGG